rnacentral:rRNA from 1 species
UACGAAGGGGGCUAGCGUUGCUCGGAAUCACUGGGCGUAAAGGGCGCGUAGGCGGACUCUUAAGUCGGAGGUGAAAGCCCAGGGCUCAACCCUGGAAUUGCCUUCGAUACUGGGAGUCUUGAGUUCGGAAGAGGUUGGUGGAACUGCGAGUGUAGAGGUGAAAUUCGUAGAUAUUCGCAAGAACACCAGUGGCGAAGGCGGCCAACUGGUCCGAUACUGACGCUGAGGCGCGAAAGCGUGGGGAGCAAACAGG